GACGAACGCUGGCGGCGUGCUUAACACAUGCAAGUCGAACGGAAAGGCCCUGCUUUUGUGGGGUGCUCGAGUGGCGAACGGGUGAGUAACACGUGAGUAACCUGCCCUUGACUUUGGGAUAACUUCAGGCAACUGGGGCUAAUACCGGAUAGGAGCUCCUGCUGCAUGGUGGGGGUUGGAAAGUUUCGGCGGUUGGGGAUGGACUCGCGGCUUAUCAGCUUGUGGGUGGGGUAGUGGCUUACCCAGGCUUUGACGGGUAGCCGGCCUGAGAGGGUGACCGGCCACAUUGGGACUGAGAUACGGACCAGACUCCUACGGUAGGCAGCAGUGGGGAAUAUUGCACAAUGGGCGGAAGCCUGAGGCAGCAACGCCGCGUGCGGGAUGACGGCCUUCGGGUUGUAAACCGCUUUCGCUUGUGACGAAGCGGGAGUGACGGUAAUGGGUAAAGAAGCACCGGCUAACUACGUG
rnacentral:rRNA from 1 species